rnacentral:rRNA from 1 species
GUGGGGAAUAUUGGACAAUGGGCGAAAGCCUGAUCCAGCCAUGCCGCGUGUGUGAAGAAGGUCUUCAGAUUGUAAAGCACUUUAAGUUGGGAGGAAGGGCAGUAAGUUAAUACCUUGCUGUUUUGACGUUACCGACAGAAUAAGCACCGGCUAACUUCGUGCCAGCAGCCGCGGUAAUACGAAGGGUGCAAGCGUUAAUCGGAAUUUCUGGGCGUAAAGCGCGCGUAGGUGGUUUUGUAAGUUGGAGGUGAAAUCCCCGGGCUCAACCUGGGAACUGCAGCCAAAACUACUGAGCAAGAGUACGGUAGAGGGUAGUGGAAUUUCCUGUGUAGCGAUGAAAUGCGUAGAUAUAGGAAGGAACACCAGUGGCGAAGGCGACUACCUGGACUGAUACUGACACUGAGGUGCGAAAGCGUGGGGAGCAAACAGGAUUAGAAACCCGGGUAGUCC